rnacentral:rRNA from 1 species
CAGUCGCCACGGGAAUACGAAGGGGGCUAGCGUUGUUCGGAUUUACUGGGCGUAAAGGGCGCGUAGGCGGAUUGUUAAGUCAGGGGUGAAAUCCCGAGGCUCAACCUCGGAACUGCCUUUGAUACUGGCGAUCUUGAGUCCGGGAGAGGUGAGUGGAACUGCGAGUGUAGAGGUGAAAUUCGUAGAUAUUCGCAAGAACACCGGUGGCGAAGGCGGCUCACUGGCCCAGUACUGACGCUGAGGCACGAAAGCGUGGGGAGCAAACAGGAUUAGAUACCCCGGUAGUCCCUGUCUCUUAUAC